rnacentral:rRNA from 1 species
AACGAACGCUGGCGGCAGGCUUAACACAUGCAAGUCGAACGCCCCGCAAGGGGAGUGGCAGACGGGUGAGUAACGCGUGGGAACAUACCCUUUCCUGCGGAAUAGCUCUGGGAAACUGGAAUUAAUACCGCAUACGCCCUACGGGGGAAAGAUUUAUCGGGGAAGGAUUGGCCCGCGUUGGAUUAGCUAGUUGGUGGGGUAAAGGCCUACCAAGGCGACGAUCCAUAGCUGGUCUGAGAGGAUGAUCAGCCGCAUUGGGACUGAGACACGGCCCAAACUCCUACGGGAGGCAGCAGUGGGGAAUAUUGGACAAUGGGCGCAAGCCUGAUCCAGCCAUGCCGCGUGAGUGAUGAAGGCCUUAGGGUUGUAAAGCUCUUUCACCGAUGAAGAUAAUGACGGUAGUCGGAGAAGAAGCCCCGGCUAACUUCGUGCCAGCCGCCGCAGUAAAAC